rnacentral:lncRNA from 1 species
AGAGAAUACAAGGCACUGCAGUCGAACAAAAGGCCUUUGAGAGUUUAUACCUGGGAGCUAUAUUUCCACCCCACCCCGUCUGCCUCCCUGAUUACAUUGCCUGCUGAGACUCUAUUGGCUGUCAAAGAGCAUCUGGGAAGGUAAUGAAGCAGUUAAUGUGGCUACAGAUACCUGCUCCCCUACUUAUUUCUGGACUCAUUCUGACAUUAAACUUCGCUCAACCCUUAUGUACUUUUGUGCCCCUCCCCCCAUAUAUUAAGACAUACCCUGUUUAAGGAGAGCUGCUGGAAGGCAGGUCAUCACAGGAAUAUCUUGUGAGUCACAGUGAAAGAAAAACAGGCACUCCUCCCCCAGAUUUGUGCUAAAGCGCAUCUAUCAUUAUCUAUUUAACUAGAGUAUUUCAUUAGGGAAUGAUACCUUUUUUUAUUGGACUAACAUAAUACUUAGAAGACAAGCUUACAAUAAUUUUCCUCUCUCCCUCAGGCCUAAAGGAAUACUGAUCAAUAUGGCAGAGUUUAACACUUAAAAUGACUGAUGUUAUUAGUAAACGGGGUGGAGGGGGUGGCAGGGGGAGGCUGUUGUAAAUAGCAGAAGAUAGGCUUCAAAGUGAAAAGUGCAGAGUGGUUGAAAACGGCAGAACAACAAAAUAAAACAGAGAAGAAAUGUUACACAACACAUUAAACAGCACAGAUUAGCUCUCUCACUCUCUAUCUAUACACACACACACACAUAUAUAUAUGUGUGUGUGUGUGUAUGUGUGUUUGUGUAUGUGUAUAUAACAUAAGUAGAGAUUGUAGCCGUAUUAGUCCAGUGAGUCUUUCUCAGAAAUGCUUUAAACUUGAGAAAGGGAGGUUCUCCCGAAAGCUUGUCAAUAAAAAAGGUAUUACAAGAUACAAAUUUUAUCUGUAUUUUACAUCUAUAUAAUGUAUUUAUAGAGAGAAAGAGAGAGAGUGUGAUUGAGUUGUGAGGACUUUUAUUUCUACAUUUGUUAAAGGAACACAGCAAAACUCCAAGCACCACAACCACUACAACACUCUGACUUCUUACAUGGGGUCCUCCCCCACUAUUUCGAGGACUUAGCUCAGGGCAGCUAAUGGUAGCUUAGGAGCGUCCAUCUAAAAGUAGUGGUGAUGGAGCUUGGAGUGUUUCUUUAACCCCUUAAGGACGGCAGAGGUGCUAUGCCAUCCUUGGGGACUCGGCUCAAAAACGCCGGCGGGCAGUAUAGCAUUUCCACGCCAUCCUAUGCACUUACCUGCUUGCCAGCGGUCCCAUAUAUAUAUUUUAAUUCUAUGUAUAUAUUUAUGUAAUAUUUUUACAUAAGUAAGUCAUUUUAUUAAUUACAAUUUGCGGGACCUGCCUGAUAACCCAGGCAGAAAGUCCAGAGAAUUUAAUUUGCUAGCACUAUAUUUAACCCUGUAACUUUCCAAGACACCAUAAAACGUUUACAUGGGGGGGUACAGUUUUACUCGGGAGACUUUGCUGAACACAAAUAUUAGUGUUUCAAAACAGUAAAAUGUAUUAGAACGAUGAUAUCAUCAGUGAAAGUGAAGUUUUUUUCAUUUUUCACAUACAAAUGGCACUUACACUGACAAUAUAAUUAUUGUUAUACCUUUUAUGGUUUGAAACACUAAUAUUUGUGUUCAGCGAAGGCUCCUGAGUAUAACAGUAUAACAGGCUCAUGUACAGGUUUUAUGGUAUUCGCCAGAUUGGAUAUGUUGCCUUUAUUGCCAAACACUGGCCAAAAUUGGCGUUCAAAUUAGUUUUUUGCAUUUUUCACACACAAAAAAAUAUUAACGCUAUCUUUGGCCAGUGUUUGUGACUAAGUGGCUACUAAAAAAGACUGGACAUAAUACCUUGGGUUGUCUACUAUUACAAAUGGUAUGCCAUCAUGGGGGUAAUUCUCAUUACUGGGCUACCAUGCGGUCUCAAAGGCAACGUAACCAAUCUGGCGAAUUUCAAUGUGAAAACACUGACAAAUUUAACAUGCUAUAUUUUGACCCUGUAACUUCCCAAAACAGCACAAAACCUGUACUUAGGGUGUACUGUUUUACACGUGAGACAUCGCUGAAUACAAAUGUUUAUUUAUUUAUAUUUUUAUAAUUCUUUAUUUUCAAUGACAGAGAUUUCAGGCAUGUGAACAGUAAUUGGGCUUAUGCAAAAGCCAAUAUUCGUGUUUUACAGCAGUUUCACAGUGAUACAGAAAAAAGAGAUUGAAUUGUUAGAUGAUAAUGCUACUGUUCAGAGUUCUUCCUUGCGGUCUUGUUCUGUCAGGGUUUUUACAUUUAUAUAUAAAACAAAACAGAUUUAAGUUUUAACCUUAACAUAAAAAUAGGAUGUGUUGCCAACACUUUUAUGUGUGGUGUAUUUUUUACUUAAGGCGGUGCACACAUGCGAUAAUAUCUGGGCUUACGCAGAAGCCACUGUGGUUCUUUUUUUUUCUUUUUUUUUUUUUCUUUGUUAUGCAAUUUACGUUUACAUAAAGAAAAAGUAGUGCUUUAGUACAGUUUACAUGUAUAGUGAAAUUUUUUGGUCAAUUCAGUGGUUUAUCUGUCAAAUUAAGGUUUGCCAUGGGUGUAUUUUGCAGUUUGGUUGUUGAAGCUUACUGUGAGGUCGUGUGCUGCCUCGUUUGGUGCAGUUAUAUAUAUGUAUUAGUGUAAAAACAUACAAACGGAUAGAUCUAUAAGCAGGAAAACGAAAAACAUUUUACUAUCGUGACUGUUACCUCUGCUCUGGGUAGCUUCAUUAUGUGCCCUUUUACUUUUUAAUUAUGAGUGUUCGUUCAGGUCCCCUGUCACCCCUCCGCAUUCUCUUGAUAUUGCUCCCACAGUUCCCAUACCUUCCUACAUUUUUGGUGGUGUGUCUGACUAGGUUAACCUGUCCAUGAGGUGGUUAUCGUUUAAUUUUUCUAAGACCAGUGUCAAGGGGGGUGUUUCCAGACAGAGCCAUUUUUGUGCUAGUGCCCUUCGGGCCACUAGAUAAACCAAGUUAAGUAGUUGUUGCUCUGGGCGUGUAAGGCCGUCUGUCGGCCUGGAGAGGAGGCAGGCCCACUGGUCCAUCUGUAGUGGUCUCUGCAUUAUGUUUGAGCUUAGAGUGAUGAUUUGAGACCAGUAGGCCUGUACUGUAGGGCAUGUCCACCACAUAUGCACGUAUGUGCCCUUUUCCCCGCAGCCUUGCCAGCAUAGGUCUGAAGAGGUGAUCUGUAUACGAAAUUGUUUUACUGGGAUGGUGUACCAUCUGAAAAGAUCUGUUAAAUGACUGCUCUUGGAGGGUGACACAAAUGGAUGAACGGCUUUCGCCUCCCAGAUGUUCCGCCAGUUGGAGCCCUCUAUUUUUUCCCCUAUACCACUGGUCCAUGUAGCGGAGUUCUUCCCACUCUUUGGCUUCCCUGGUAAGGUGGGAGUAUAACAGUGAGAUAAGGCCCCUAGGAUGUUUUUCCUGGUAGCAAAUAUUCUCAAACCAGGUGAGAGGGAGGGUUGCUGUCUCUUUUACUUCUUUAGAGCUGGCAAAGUCUCGUAACUGAAGGUAGCGGAAGAAGUCUUUGUUUGUUAGAGGGGAUUGUUCCCUGAGGUGGUCAUAUGUAACUAGUUGGUUAUUUUUGUAUAAGUGGCAAUAUCUCUGGAGACCCGCCCUCUCCAGGCUGCCAAAGUCGCCUGCUUUCAUACCUGGUGGGAAGGAUCUGUUUCUCAGUAUUAGGGACAUCGGGGAAGGGAACCUGCUUAAGGAGUAUUUGGUUGCUAUUUGAUCCCAGAUGUUUAAGGAGUUUGUUAUUGGUGGGAAGGCUAUUCUGGGAAGUGCUCUGUGUGUCUUAUGUAACCAGGGAUAAAACUGUGGUAGGUCUUGACCCUUUAGUGAGGAUUCCAGCUCCACCCAUCGUCGGGUGUCUGGUGUUGAGUGCCAGUAUGCUAUUUGGGCCGUUUGCGCGGCCAAGUAGUAUAUGUACAGGUUCAGUAGUCCUAGCCCCCCUUUAUCCUUGGUCGGUACAGCAGUUUUCUAGCUAUCCUGGGGCGUUUUUUGUGCCAAAUAAACAUAUCUAUAGCUCUCUGGAGUGAGGAUAAGUCGCUCCUCUUAAUUGAUGUGGGCAGGGCUUGAAACAUGAACAGCAGUCUAGGGAGAAUAUUAAUCUUUACUGAAUGGAGCCUCCCUAGCCAUGAGAUAGGCUUGUCUGUCCACUGCUCCAGGUCCCUCUGGAGUGCGCGCAUUAGCGGGGUGUAGUUAGUCUCGUGUAGUUGUUCGUGCUGUGCUGUGAGUUUAACCCCUAGAUACGGUAUGUUGUCUGUGUUGAUGGGUAGGAGAUGUCUGUCUUGUAUUGAUUCUCUUUCAUGGGUCGGGAUAUGAAACGGUAGGGCUGUGGAUUUAGUGAGGUUCACCUUGUAUCCUGAUAGGGCCCCAUAUGUGUCUAAGAGGCUCUUCAGUUGGUCUAUGGAGGUCUGGGGAUCUGUGAGAGUCAGCAGCACAUCGUCCGCGUACGCUGAUACUUUGAAAGUGUUUCUCGCUAUUUUAAUUCCCUGUAUGUGUGGGUGUUGGCGUAUGGCUUGUAGUAUCGGUUCAAGGGAGAUAGCGAACAGCAGUGGCGACAAUGGGCAGCCCUUGCGCGUUCCGUUGUGACGGGGGAAAGGAGUCCUGGGGGCUGCUGCAAUUAGGGUCUUGGCUCUCAGGUUGGUGUACAGGGCGCGUAUGGCUUGGAUGUAAGCUCCUGGGAAGCCCCACUCUUCAAGUAGACUGAACAGGUAUGGCCACUGCACCCUAUCAAAGGCAUUCUCCGCGUCCACUUUUGAUUUCUGCAUGUACCAUGCCAGGACUGCCCCCCUACGCGUGUUUUCAUUUAGUUGCGUUACCGGGGAUAAACCCCACCUGAUCUGGAUGGAUUAUGCGUGUGAGCAUAGGUGCCAGCCGGAUCGCCAGGAUCUUCGCGUAUACUUUGAGAUCCGAGUUUAUCAGGGAGAUGGGUCUAUAAUUCGCUGCGUGUUCAGCAUCUUCCCCCAGUUUUGGAAUGAGUGUGAUAUUUGCUAGUGCCAUGUCUGUGUCUGCCGCUAUGCCUGUCAUGAAGUGGUUGUACAAGGAGGUAAGAUGGGGGGCUAGGUCCUCUUUGAAUAUUUUGUAGUACCCUAUUUCAUAUCCAUCGGGACCUGGGGCCUUGUUUCCUUUCAGUACUGCUAUAGCUGUUUCUACCUCUAAUCGGGAGAUAGGUUCUUGUAAGAUCGUGAGGUCUUCGUCUGUGAUCGCAGGGAGUUUUAUGUUAGCGAGCAAGGCUCGUAGUGAAGUAUAUAUUUGCCCCGGUGUACUCUGUGGGUGUUGGGUCUGUCCAUAGAGCUUCGAGUAGAACUCUGUGAAAACCCAUUUUAUGUCUUGUGGGGUGGUUGUUGCCUGUUCCUGAGUGUGUGUACGUAUUUUUGUGAUGGGCUUGUGGUCCCUUCGGGGGUGCAGCGUUCUGGCUAGUAGAGAGUCCAUUUUAUUGGACUUUUCAUAGAAGAGUCGCUUAGACCUCUGAAUGGAGUGCGCUACCCCCUCGAGUAGGACCCCCCUGAUUGCAUGUCGUAGUGAUGUGAGUUCUGCGAAUUUCCAGCUGUGGGGUUUUGUUUAUGCUGUUGUUCUAAUCUUCUCAGUGUAUCCUGAUAGUCUAUAAGGGUGUUACAUUUCUUUUUGUGUGUUGCUACUUUUAUAAAGUGUCCCCUCAUGACCGCUUUGUGUGCUGCCCAGAUCGCCACGGGGCCCACCUGCGGUGUAGUGUUUUGUGUGAAAUAGUCUUUGAUUCGGGUGCGCGUAUCGUCACAUAUCGUUUCACUGUUUAGUAAGCUAGUGUUUAGGAGCCAGGUCCAAGUGGCGGAGUAUUUGAUUUGUCUAGUGUGAUAGAAAUAUCUGCAUGAUCCGACCAGGUGAUACUGCCUAUGUCAGUGUGCGUGAGCUUGGACAUCCCAACUCCGUUUAAGAAUAUGUGGUCGAUUCUAGAGUAUGUGCCGUGGGGCGCUGAAUAGAACGUGUAGUCACGAGUGUUUGGAUGCUGGAGCCUCCAGGCGUCCAGUAACUGAGUGUUAGUAAGAAAGGUGUGCAAUAGUUUAUCCUGCGCACCUCUCCCAUGGGACCUGGGCGAGACCGUUUUCGUGCUUCUAUCAAUUGCUGGGCUUGGCACAGUGUUGAAGUUGCCCCGCACUACUGUUAUCCCUCCCCCGUCUGCGUUCAUUAUUGUCGUGAGGUUGUCCCAGUAUGAGGGGGCUGGAACGUUAGGGGCGUAUACGUUGAGGAUCCUUAUUUUUGUGCUGUGUGGCAUGCCUGUUAUUGAAAUAUAACGGCCCUCCGGGUCUGCCUGUGUCCCUGUCACUUGGAGUGGGCAGUUUUUGUGCGCCAAUAUUGUCACUCCGGCCCGUUUGUGUAGUGCUCUCGCCUCAUGAGACUGGGGGUAUUGUCUGUCCUUCAGUGUUAUCGGUGCUGUCUUAGGGAUAUGGGUUUCUUGAAUUAGGGCAAUGUCGGUUUUGCGUGCCUUCAGGUCUCUAAGCAGGAGCCUGCGUUUAUUUGAGGUGUUUAGUCCCUUGACUUGAGGGAAACUAUUUUUAGCGCCAUUUAAGGUCGGGGCCCUAGAGGAGUGGUGAUAAACGGGUGUGGUCUCCUAUUUGGUUAUGUGCUCUGACUCCCUCUUCCAUGGUUGGGGUACUCUGGUCUGGGUCCUGGGCAGUCGUACCUGUGUUUUGUGUCGUAACCUUCUCUAGGGACUACGUUUGGGUUGCCGGUUGGGGCCCACCUGUGCGUUGGGUCUUCUGUUGCAAAUGGUGGAUCGGUUGGUUCCGCCUAAACUGAGGAUACGUGUGGUGUAGAGGUGUUGGUGCAGCCUUUAUGACUGCGGUAGCGUGUGUGCUGUGUUGUUAGUGUGUGGCGUGCAUGUUUUGGAUGGUGAGCAGGCAUUUAUGUUUUUUUAUGCUCGGUUGUUGCUGGAAGUGUACAUGAGUUCAAUUGCUGUGUGCUGGGGUGAGAUGUGUGAAAUGGAUAGGGGCUAAGUUCCAGGGUGCUUGUAUCUUGUUUUCCCAGAGGUUGGAGCUAGACACAGUUCUCUGAUAUAUACAUAUGUAUAUACAUACAUAUACGCACACAUACAUAUACAUACUUUUUUUUAUGUUAUUUUUUUUAUAUGUUAUAAUAUAAACAUAUAUAUGGUGCGUGAGGGUCUUACCCCUCCUGGGUGUAUUCUUGUGUGGGUGAAGCGGCAGUGGUAGUCCACCGGCCUCCUCCUCUCUAUGCGGGGUCAGGGAGUUAGCAUAUGUUACUGUAUACAAUAUACAACCACACUUCAGAGGCAAAACAGUAUAUACAUGCACAUACGACCUGAUCUGUGUAAGUUUCUCUUGCUCCGUAUUGUAACUUGGAAGAGAGGUUUGGAGGUAAACGUCCCGGUUACAGGUCCGGCCCAGCUUUCUUGCAUGUCCACAGCUGUUUGUUAGUGGUCUGUUUCUUUGGUUAUAGAGGGGAAUGCGUUGGAGCCAGUCGGUCGGGAGCUUGCGUAGUGUGCCAGGGGUAUACCUUCGUUUACGGUUUGAGUCCAUCCUCUCGGUUCCGGUGCGGGGAUGGUUACAAGUAGUCCCUGGAAAGUCCUAGUUUAGGUUAUGGUCUCUUCAUGUCCGCUGAGUGGACCAGCAGUCCUCUUCUCUUUGGUCGAUAGUUGAUUCCUUCCUCUGUCUCUGGUGAGCGUCUUCUCUGAUCCCUUGGCUUUCUGUUGAAGGUCUGUGCUGGAUCCAUCGCAUACCAGUCCAUUAUGCGUACUUCAUUAAGUUUGAGCGCUUUGAUGAAAGUUGUCACGUCUCUGUAAUCUGUUAUAGUGUUGUUAGCCCCUUUGAGUGUAACAAUGAGAGCUAGGGGGAAAACCCAAUCUGUAUCUUAUAUUUCUUGCACGUGCCUGAAAUGGUGAGCCAGGAGGGAUCUUGGUAAAUUUUGAUCUCGUGUCUGUGGAACAGCAGCGGUGGGUUGGUGUCCCUCAAUUUCUUAAGUAUUCGUAGUGUAGUAGUGUAACCGACAUAUGAUGUCUCUUGGGGCGUCCCCAUUGUUGCUCUUAGGCCAGAGUGAGCAGUGCGCUCUAUCAAGAUGGAUCGCGUUGCUACUGGUUGCUCUAAAAGUAAGUUGAAUAAUUCUUGCAGUGAUGCUGGGAGAUCCUCGGCCUCUGUUUCAGGUAAGCCCUUAUUUCUGAGGUUGUUUCUGCGCCCCCUAUUGUCUGUCAUCCAGUAAUCUUUGCAGCUGUGACAUUUGUGUUUCGUGGGUGCCUAAGCGGUCUGACACAGUGUCUAGUUGUGUAUGCAUCUGUUCCCUGUCUUUCUCCAGGUCUUGGACACGGAGGCCUACCUGCUGUACGUCAGGAUCCCAGGCCCUCCAUUUUACGUUGGAAGGAGGUUUCCAGUUUCUCCAACAUUGCUGUGAGAUCAGCCUUGGAGGGUAGGUUCCUGAGCAGCUCUUUAAUAUCUGGGUCUGCCGACAUUACUGAUGUCUCUGAGGCUGAUGGGCUGGGAGGAUUGGAGAGGCACUCUCCUGCGGUCGACGCCAUGGUUGCCUCCCCCUGUCCCGCCAUGCAGCCGACGUGGUCUUUGAAGUAUUUUGUUACCGAGCCCGGUUUCUCGGUGGGUGCUUUCCCACCGCUUGUGUGGGUGCUCUGCGACCUUUUGGGGUUCCCCAUGUUUAAUUGUGCCUGUGUUCCAGCUCGUUUGAGUGCCUGCUCUGCCGGAGCCAGACUAACAUGCAGCCAUUUCUUCCGACGGUCGGUCACGCCCCCCAAAUAUGUGUAUUUUAUUGCAGUAAAAGCAAACCGUAUUAUGACAUUCACAGUUAAAAUGUCAUGCGGAACUAAAAAAAUAACAAUUUCUUAAUUUCUCAAUUUGUUUUUUUAUUUUAUUCAUAUUAAAUUGUUUCAUAGCUAAAUAUUGAUGUUAAAUGAAAGCCCUAUUUAUCCUGAAUAAAAUGAUUUAUAAUAAGUGUAGGUGCACUUAAUAUGACAGAGAUGAACGGUUGAACAGACAUAUAGUCAAAUUCCAAGUUUAAGUUUUAUUUUGAUCAUAACGUGUACAUUUGGCUCAGUCCUUAAGGGGUUAAAUAUAGGAGAUAAGUAAACAUAAUAUUAAAAAAUAGACCCGUGAUGCAUAAAAGGCAGAGUUAACAAUGUCAGGAAGACACUUUCAUUGGGUGUCAUAUUUUCAUUACUCAGCUCAGGUGAAAGUCAUAUUUUUAGCUCAUUACAGUAGACCAUAUAGGGCUUCCUUAAAAUCUGUAAUUUGGGAUAUUACUGUUACCCUUUAGCACACUGACUGUUAAUGAACAAGAAUGUCAAUGACAAAUGUUAGUGCAUAAAGUAUUCUGUGGAAAACACAGGUUAAUCCCUAGAAAUAGAGUACCUUCAGCUGGUCAUGGCAGAAAACAAAGAGAACCUGUACUUACCUAGACACAGGAAGCUUCUUUAAAUAGUUAAUUCACAUACAGUUUACACAUCUCUGGUCUCCUUGCUAUCUUUCUGCUAACUGAAAACCACAAUUUUUACCACCCUUAUGUUUGAUUCAGUGGUGCUACACCUUAUCAUUAUUGGUAUUUAUAUAACGACAACUUAUUCCACAGCGCAUUACAAUAUUUUGAAUGGGAGGAGAUUUAACUAUAAAUGAGACAUUUACAAAAUGAUAUAAGAAAAAUAGGUAGAUGAGGACUCUGCACAAACGAACUUGCAGCAUGUACCAGCAUGCAGAGGAUUCUGUGUGGUAGUAGUUCAAGUCAAGAGUUUAAGUGAAAUACUUCUUAAUAAAUGUAUAGCCCAAAGAGUUCAGAGCAAAAUAUCUCCGUAUCACUGCAGAACCAAAAUUCAGCCAAUUGUGGAACUGGAAAGUUUACUUGCAAAAUCUGCAUGAAAACCCAAAGCAGUGUGACGCUCUCGGGCCCGGCGAGAGCUUUUUCUCUGGCUUUUUCUCCAACAAUUUGAGUGCGUUUAAUAUUGAUAGUUUUACAUGUUUAAAGAGACUGCUUGUAAACUUUUGUGUUUGGGAAAGCUGUAUAUGCCAUGUGAAUGGGAAAAGGCUGUUUGUGUUGUGUUUGUGAGGAGACAUGAGACAUUAAUCUGGCCAACUGCCCCACUUAAAUACAAAACAAGGAUGCAGUAAAACACGCCCAGAACACUCCCACAAAUUCCUGUGUCAGAGUGAGUCUGCAUAAAAACAUAAAAUAUCAAAAUACAUAAAAAAUCCAUAAAAAACAUCUAGGAACCCCUACAAAUUAUAUAGCCCUGAUCUGAGUGCCCAAGUUCUCCAAAUAACGCUCAGAUCCAUGCAGUGUAGGGGAAACGCCACCGUGUGGAAGUUCUGACCGGCCGCACACAUGGUCCUAUGCGCAAAACAUUUCCUGUGCGUUUGGUGCUUUUGCCGGCCAGCUUCCAGGAGCUCCGGCGGCCGCAAUACGGGCUGCUCCGGCUGGCUCCUAGGUAGCGUUUGCUCCCCUUAGUCUCAGGCACCAAGGAGGCUGGGGAGAUUUAACUCCCGAACAGGGUCUUUGUAUGUGUCCCACAGUCCUUGGGCAGGAGGCUAGCUAGCAGGCUCCUCAAGGAGUUUGUGACAAACGUUCAGGGUAAGGAGCGUUUGUCACAUAUCUUCCUCCUCCUGGGGAGACUAACCAGACCCCAGAUCUCCAAUAGGUCUGGGUCUGUGUUAGUCUGGUUGACUUUUCCAAAAGGUGCAGUGAUCCAGAGGGCCUCCUGCCACAAGCACCCGUUUAUGCAUCCAGGGUCUUUCUGGGAAGGGCAACUGCUAAAAUCCACUCCUGAAAAACCACACUGUUGCUGGGGAGGGGGGGAAUGAAGAAACUAUGCGCUCCCUGUUGUAUGUACUGCUGCUGGAUAAUGAGACAGACCACCUCCACCCCUAGUGAAGCUUGCUUCUGCUGGGGAGAGGGACUAAAAAUCUCCUCUCCUUGUAACUCUGGCUGCUGCUGGGGAGAGAGACAGGUUGUCUCCUCUCCCUGCCUGGUACACUGCCGCUGGGGAGGGAGACGGGCUGUCUGUUGCUGGGUAGUGAGACGGACUAUCUCCACUACCAGGGAUGCUUGCUGCUGUUGGGAUAAGGGGCCGACAAUCUGUCAUACUGUCUGGUGCUGGGUAGGGAGACCGACUAUCUCCACUCCCAGUGAUGCUCGCUGCUGCUGGGGAGAGGGACCGAAAAAUCUCCUCUCCCUGUAACUCUGGCUGCCACUGGGGAGCGAGACCGGUUGUCUCCUCUCCCUUUAAAGGACCACUAUAGGCACCCAGACCACUUCAGCUUAAUGAAGUGGUCUGGGUGCCUGGUCCAGCUAGGGUUAACCCUUUUUUUUUAUAAACAUAGCAGUUUCAGAGAAACUUAUGUUUAUAAAUAGGUUAAACCAGCCUCUAAAGCCUCUAGUGGCUGUCUCAUUGACAGCCGCUAGAGGCGCUUGCGUGCUUCUCACUGUGAAAAUCACAGUGAGAAGACGCCAGGGUCCAUAGGAAAGCAUUGUAAAUGCUUUCCUAUGAACUGGCUGAAUGUGCGCGCGGCUCCUGCCGCACAUGCACAUUCAGCCGAUGACGUCGCUAGGAAGGAGGAGAGGAGGAGGAAAGCUCCCCGUCCGGCGCUGGAGAAAGGUGAGUGUUUAACCCAUUCCUCUCCCCAGAGCCCGGUGGGAGGGGGAUCCUGAGGGUGGGGGCACCCUCAGGGCACUAUAGUGCCAGGAAAACGAGUAUGUUUUCCUGGCACUAUAGUGGUCCUUUAACUCAUACUGCCGCUGGAGAGUGAGACCGAGGAUGCUUGCUGCUGCUGGGUUGAGGGACCAACAAUCUCCUCUCCCUGUGAUGCUGCUUUGUGGGGAUAUUUAUGGGAUAAUAGUCAACAGUGAGAAUUGCCCACUAAUUCAAUUCUCAGAUCCCAAAGAUCGUUAUCGUGUUAAGUGAAAAGUAUUUCAUAUAAAUAAAUCACAAUGUUAUAAAAAUAGAUUUAUUUUAUAAUAACAAAUUAAUUAAUAAUAAUAUGUAACAUGCGUGACAAUAAUCAAUUAGUAUUUAGUACAACAUAGUAUGCAAUGGAAUGGGUAUACACGUUUCAAUGGCUAAACAGCAUUUUCUGUCAAGACUUACACGAUUUAUGAGGUAUCCUUACAGACAUAGAAAGCGGAGCUUUUCACAGCGAAGGGCCAUAAAACCCUGGCUAACAGUUAGAUCAACUGAAUAACCCUUUCAAUGCUGGCUAGAUCUCCUAGGUAAUUAAGAUCUAUUCUUAUGUAAUUUUAAAUAAAAUAACAUUUAAACCAGUUCAUUAGUCAUUUCCUGGAACCAUCCAAUAAGAGAAUCUACCAGAUUUUUACAAAAGCAGAAUUUAAUUUGUCUAAAAGAUAUCUUAUCUUAUAUUAGAGCAAAUCAAUACACCUGGAUAAAAACAGCGGUAUGCUAACACGUGAUACUAUCACAUUAAUAUAUAAUUAUUCUUAAUUCCACCUGCAGAAUGGAAUGUUUAUAACUAUAUAUUCUUUAGUUAACUAAGAUUUCAUAAUAUGGAAAUCUGACCGUGAUUUAUCCAGUCAUAUAUCAUGCUAUUAGUACAUUUUAAUUAAUUUAAUUAAUUAAAUGAAACCAGUAUAAUUACCAGUUGAGUAGAUAUUUUAUCCGAUUGGUAGAUAGUCUCAGGAACUUAUUUGGAUGUCUGUAGGUGCAUGAGUUAUGGUGAAAGGUGGUGUUGGUUAGAAAGUCAGUAAAAUUCUAAGUGUUAGAGUUUUAAGAGUAAAGUGUUAGUCUCAGAUGUUGUCCUGGGUUUCUCUGCAUGUCCGAUUUGGAGUCCCCAAACUUCCAAUUCCUCUUCUCUCUUUUCCUCUUCCCUUUGUCUUAACUUUUAAAGGGCCAGACUCUCUGUACGUCAUUAGUUGAUAACCCAAUAGGCACACUGGAGGUGUGUCCAAUCUAGGGAUCGCAAUUUAGGUAUUUGAUCUAUAGAGGGCAGUCUUGUCCCACUAAAUAUACCUAUCCAGGAAAGAGUUAACUUUCGUCAUUUUGGCUUAUCUAUAUGGUUGCCAUAAUUUAAGUUUUCUGUCAGAUCAAACAGUUUCUUUAAGUUUUGUCCAGACUAUGUGUCUGGCAAAUUCUGCUAUAAUUUCUAAUAUGACAGUUAUAACUAAGUUUUGACCUGUAACUUACAAUGGGAUCUUGUACAUAUAGGAAGUAAAAUUUUAUUAUUUAAUCUCCUCUGUCACAAAUGUCUGUGUUUAGAUAUGCAUCUAUUCCAUUAGCAUUUAGACAGUCUAUCCAACCCCCGUUCUCCUUAUCACUUGGUUUGUAUAUACUAUGCAUUCCUUUAGCUCUGGGAAAGUGGUUAGUUUUACAGAUAGAAAUCUUGUUUCUUUUGUUAGCUUGAAAAUAACAAAAUGGAGUCUGCUCUGUUCAAAAGUGACUCAGCAUAUACACUUUUAAUUUCUAUCAUAGCACAAGAUGUCUGGCGAUAUAAAUACCCUGACAGCUUGGUGCUGGGUAGUGAGACCGACUAUCUCCACUCCCAGGUAUGCUUGCUGCUGCUGGGAUGAGGGACUGACAGUCUCCUCUCCCUGUGAUGCUGCUUGGUGCUGGGUAGUGACACCGACUAUCUCUACUCCCAGGGAUGCUUGCUGCUAAGCUGCUUUGCCUAGGUUCUGUUAUUCCUGCUGCAGUUCCCAUUCUAUAGCGACCAGGUGGGUGAAAUCUGGUCCCAGGUCUGUAGUAUUAGGGAGCUCCAGUGCGUCCAUAUGAUAAUUCCUGAUGGCCCAAUACCGAGACUCUUCCGUUCUGCUGAAGUCACUGUCCUCCUCCAAAGCCUCCCAUAGUAGACCAGGGCCAUUGUAGUCCUCACCCCCGGUCUUUCGUUCUCCGCCCUUCACGGGCACCUUUGGACCGAGUACCACUGUAGUGCUCGUUCAGCCACAGUUCCUUCUUGAUCAGCCGCUGGAAUUCUAUAAUCCACUCUUCCAGGGGCAGAUACUCCAGUAAAGGCAGCCUCAGCACUGUUUACUUUCUGCCUGCGCUGUUCUGAACUGGGAAGGCCUCGUGCCAGAGAUCUCGCCGUAUGCUUUCUUUCCAGGCCAGCUCCUCCUCAGCUGAAAUAUGGCCAUGCACCUGGGUCAGUGCGCCUUGUAGUCUCUCCUGGAACUCCUCCUCAUAUGGGGAUGCUCCCCGGGGGCUAGCUCACUCCAUCUCCCGAGUUCCUCUGCAGACAGGGACGCUGCUGGGCCCUUCACUGUGCUUCCUGGUUUGGGAUACCCAUUUGGGAGUAAGAAAUCCCUCCGCUUGCCACCAAUGUAACGGAUUUCCCUCUGUGUAUAUCCACUGUAGUUCUCCCAAAUCCCCAGUGAAGCAGUGAUUAUAGCUCCCAAUUCCCCAAACAUCAGUCUAGACUUGAUGAAGGGUAGAAACGAAUGUGUUUAAUCUGGCCAACUGGCCCACUUAUAUACAAAACAAGGAUGCAGCAAAAGACGCCCAGAACACUUCCACAAAAUGUCCACAAAUUCCUGUGUUGGAGUGACUCAGCAUAAAAACAUAAAAUAUCAAAAUACAUACAAAAUACAAAAUAAAUAGGAACCCCAACAAAUUAUAUAUCAUUAAAUAGCCCUAUCUGAGCGCCCAAGUUCUCCAAAUAGCGCUCAGAUCCAUGCAGUAUAAGGGAAAUGCCACUGUGUGGAAGUUUUGACCGGCCAAACACAUGGUCCAAUGCCCAAAACAUAUCCUGGUCGUUUCGUGCCUUUGCAGGUCUACUUCUGGGAGCUCCUGCGGCUGCAAUACAGGGUGCUCAUGCUGGCUCCUAGGUAGCGUUUGUUCCCCUUAGUCUCAGGCACCCAGGGAAAGCUGGUAAUGGAGGCUGGGGAGAUUUAACUCCCGAACAGGGUCUUUGUAUGUGUCCCAUAGUCCUUGGGCAGGAGGCUAGCCAGCAGGCUCUUCCAGGAGUUUGUAACAAACGUUCAGGGUAAGGAGUGUUUGUCACACUUGGUAUCCUAUCUUUUGUCCUUUCCUGUGCUGUGCAUACCUGUGAAGUAAGGUGCAUUACACAGGCGGCUCCCACUGACCUCAGUGUUGACUCUCGCGAUAAUCAACACUGAGGAGCAGUGACACACGACUUCAGGAAAUGGUGCUGUGCUGGAGUGAGGUGACUACAUACAUACCCAGCCAAUGGCAAAAUUGACAAAGGCUGUGGACCAUGGGCAUGCGUGUGGGUGUUCGCAUACCAUCAUGUAUACCCUUAUACACCCUACGUGUCAGCUGAUCUAUAACCAGAUAUCUAUGGUGCAAUAUGUUUAGUUUAAAUGUAUUUAACUAUAAUCACCACAAAGUGUAAACAAUAAAAACUGGGAUAUAUUUACCUCACAGGAAAUUAUGUGUAUAUAUAUAUAUAUAUAUAUAACAUUAAUUCAAAUAGAUAAAAAACAAGAGAUAAAAAAUAUAUAGUGUAGUAUUUUAAUGCAUAGAAAAAUCUAAAAACCUAUGUAUAUAUAAGUAAAAAAGCACAAUAGGAAAUUGUGCAAAAAGCAUAGGUACCACAAGGUACCCAAACCAAUCACUCACAUAUUCUCACACAUAACUAUUCAAAUACAUCACACAAAGAUGACAACACUUAUAAUCACCCCACAUGUUCCCUUGCACACAGCCUUCUAAUAAAUAUUCUCGGUGUACACUAUAAUGAAAUGUGCUGCGCAUGCCUAUGCCAUAGACUAAAGAUUCACAGUUUGUCAACCUGAUUGUUCUACAUAAUGAAAGGAAGUCUUUGCUUUUCCUUAUGUAUAACGUUGCAAAAAUGAAAAGAUAUUUAAUUUUUAAAUAAUAGAGUGAGGGAUGGGGGGCCCUUGUCUAUUACAAAAAAAAAGUGACAGAGACACUUUAAUAGAUGUGCUAUAAAAAGAAGUCUUAUCAGUAUAAUGUCUAACACUUUCAAACAUUCACUUAUUUAUGUGCGUGAAUUUUUUCCUAAAACUGGUGGAACAUUGAAAAGGGAGUUCAAAUAUUAGGCAAAAACAGACAAAUUGGAUAUAUCCUUUGACUCACCCAGGUUUCCAGUGUGGUCAGUUUCUGGCAAUUCAUUUCAUAUUAUAUUACAUACAAAACAUUUCAUACAUGGAUAUUUUUCAGAUCAAUACCCUCUUUCUGUUCUAUUAUUACAGAGAAAUGGACCAACCCUGCUCAUCUUCUUCAGAGUAGCUUGUGCCACAGUCUGUACCAAAUAAUCACUCUAUUUAUUUCUCACAUUUUGCCUUGAAAGGAAAUGAAGGACUCUCUUGUUCUUCGGACACUGUAGUUCUUUGGAGUGAGAAGAACAAGUCAAGGAGAGGAUGUUGA